AGAGUUUGAUCCUGGCUCAGAGUGAACGCUGGCGGCGUGCUUAACACAUGCAAGUCGAACGAGAAACGGUCUAGCUUGCUAGAUGCAGUCUAAGUGGCGCACGGGUGAGUAAUGUAUAGCUAAUGUGCCCCUUGGAGGGGGAUAACAGUUGGAAACGGCUGCUAAUACCCCAUACUCCUUCAUUCUUAAUGGGUGAAGGGAAAGUUUUUUCGCCAAGGGAUCAGGCUAUAUGGUAUCAGCUAGUUGGUGAGGUAACGGCUCACCAAGGCAAUGACGCCUAACUGGUCUGAGAGGAUGAUCAGUCACACUGGAACUGAGACACGGUCCAGACUCCUACGGGAGGCAGCAGUGGGGAAUAUUGCACAAUGGAGGAAACUCUGAUGCAGCAACGCCGCGUGGAGGAUGACGCAUUUCGGUGUGUAAACUCCUUUUAUAUAGGAAGAUAAUGACGGUACUAUAUGAAUAAGCACCGGCUAACUCCGUGCCAGCCGCCGCGGUAAUUC
rnacentral:rRNA from 1 species